rnacentral:rRNA from 1 species
GGCAAGUCUGGUGCCAGCAGCCGCGGUAAUUCCAGCUCCAAUAGCGUAUAUUAAAGUUGUUGCAGUUAAAAGCUCGUAGUUGGACUUUAGGCAAGACGGCCUGGUCGCCCACUGGGUGUACUGGGAUCGUUGCGCCUCACCUUCGGGGAGCCAGUCGUGCUUCGGUGCGCUGGGGAACCGAGCCUUACCUUGAGGAAAUUAGAGUGUUUAAGGCAGGCUUAUGCUUGAAUACGUUAGCAUGGAAUAACAUGAGUAGGACUUUGGUUCUUAUUUUGUUUGGUUUGAGGACCAAAGUAAUGAUUAAGUAGGACAGGUUGGGGCAUUAGUAUUCAAUAGUCAGAGGU